GGUUGCCGGUGUCGCUCCUGCAGUAGCCGCAGCGGUAGCCAUCCUCCCCGCCGAAGAACUCGACGAUGCUCGGCGAGCCGCCGCCCGCCGCCAUCCCCGCCCGCCUCAGGCACCUAAGGAGAAAGAAAAACAAAAAAGAGAAGACAGUAAGACAACAUGCAUUAACACCAGGAGCUGAUCAAGUAACUGUGACAGUAAGGACUUCAUUCCUAUCAUGGCAAGAAUUUUCUGGAAGCAGAAGGGAAGACUGCCUGGUUCCCUCUAAGUCCUUCUUCAGACUACUUUGCUAACAACAUCAGAUGUCAGGAAGUUAAGAAAUCAAACAGAAAAACUAAGCUAUGAUUCUUUUCAACACUGCAUUCUGAGUAUAAAGUUCCAAAAAAUAAUGCAUCACUUAACUGACCAUCAAGCUCAAAGGGAUUUUUCCCUAGUUCAUAAUUUGUAUACAAGCCUAGAUUACGUUUUGUUUCAUGAAGAGGGCAAGGACACAGCAAUUCCAGAUGUUACAGUCACCCUGCUCACAGUUCUUCUGCACGUUUAAGUCACACAUAGUUUCCCUGAAAUUCUCCCACAUGCAUAAGAAACUUACUGGGUUUGAUUUGUUAAAAGAACUUACUUGAAUAGUUAUUCUGUCUCCAUUUCCUCUUCAGUGGCCUGAUAAGGAGGUGUAAUCAUGGCUUCUCUUAUCUGAAAUGUUUCUAUGAUCUCCUGAUAGAGAUGACAGAGUGAGUCAGUCAGCAGAGCUGAACUAUUUGAACUGAAUCACCACCAGCAAGCAAUAAAGUUUCUGAUACUAAAGCACUAUUUCAAAUUACAUCUCUCCUGCACAUUCUGAGUGAGGGACAAAGGAGAAGUAUGUGGUGCUCAAAAGUACUUUUUGUCUUAAGAUUUAUUCCAAACAAUCAGGAAACUGCAUGGAUAACUUUGCCUCCAGAGACAAGUAUUGUACAUAUGGGAAGAAACAGAUUCCAUAUUUACCCAGGCCUUGUACAAAAGCGAAGUCAGUGCACAGCUUCAAAGCACUUAAACUGAACAGGCCCAAACUCUCAGUUUUCCUGCAGCUACAAACAUCCCUUAGAUCUGUGAUUGCUCUGGCAUCCAUAAGGUCAAAUGCAGUGUUUCUGUACACAAAACACCUGCCCUCCCCAGCACAGCUCUCAGAGGCUUAAAUAAAAAACAACUGAUCCAAA